rnacentral:rRNA from 1 species
UACGGGGGGAGCAAGCGUUGUUCGGAUUUACUGGGCGUAAAGGGCGCGUAGGCGGUCAGCACAAGUCACUUGUGAAAUCUCCGGGCUUAACUCGGAAAGGUCAACUGAUACUGUGCGACUAGAGUGCGGAAGGGGCAACUGGAAUUCUCGGUGUAGCGGUGAAAUGCGUAGAUAUCGAGAGGAACACCGGUGGCGAAGGCGGCGAUCUGGACGAUGACUGACGCUGAGACGCGAAAGCGUGGGGAGCAAACAGG